AUUGAACGCUGGCGGCAUGCUUUACACAUGCAAGUCGAACGGCAGCGCGGGCUUCGGCCUGGCGGCGAGUGGCGAACGGGUGAGUAAUGCAUCGGAACGUGCCCAGUAGUGGGGGAUAGCCCGGCGAAAGCCGGAUUAAUACCGCAUACGACCUGAGGGUGAAAGCGGGGGACCGAAAGGCCUCGCGCCAUUGGAGCGGCCGAUGUCGGAUUGGCUAGUUGGUGGGGUAAAGGCUUACCAAGGCGACGAUCCGUAGCUGGUCUGAGAGGAGGACCGGCCACACUGGGACUGAGACACGGCCCAGACUCCUACGGGAGGCAGCAGUGGGGAAGUUUGGACAAUGGGGGCAACCCUGAUCCAGCCAAGCCGCGUGCGGGAAGAAGGCCUUCGGGUUGUAAACCGCUUUUGUUCGGGAAGAAAUCCUGUGGGCUAAUACCCCGGGGGGAUGACGGUACCGGAAGAAUAAGCACCGGCUAACUACGUG
rnacentral:rRNA from 1 species